UAUCAGAGCGCUGACGUGUCUCUGUCCCGCAGGAGUUGGACGCUCCGUUCCGUCUGUACGGUCUGACCAUGAAUCCUCUGCUGUAUAACAUCACUCAGGUGGUGAUUCUGUCGGCCGUGUCGGGGGUCAUCAGCGACCUGCUGGGCUUCAACCUGAAGCUGUGGAAGAUCAAAUCAUGACGGUGAAUCUGCAGUGAUUUCAGCUUCCCGAGGCGAUGCGCGUCUCAAACACACGGGGGCUGCCUGACAAUGAACUCUUGACCUGUUGUUCGGUCAUAGAGUGCUUGUGCAAUUCAGCUAUUUAUUUUACCCUUUCAGUGUUUUUUUGUUAUUCUCAAGUAUUUGUUUUAGCUGUUACAGUUGUUUUAAGUAUUAUUUUAGCUCCUGAUGUGACGUUCUCAUAGGAAAGAUAAUCCAGCGCUUGUGCAUGUGUCAGAUUUACAGUCUGAUCUGUGAUAUUUAAGACUGCUGUGAGUUACUGAAACCAAGAGAAAAGCCCCAUCAUGACGUGACGAUCAUUGUGGAAUGCACACACACACUCACGGAACUGCCGUUUUUACACGCGUGUGAGUUUCUUCAGUUGAUCUGCAGUUUUUCAGCUUUGUUUUAUUCUCGGCAAUAAGUGUCAGUGAGUUCAGAUGAACAUUGGUGCGUCUGAUCAUGCACUGAUUCAGGAGCUUCACGUGUCGUCUGCGGUCUGUUAAACGUGUGUGUGUGUGUGUGUGUGUGUGUCAGUUAGGAAAGCCUCAAAAUGUGCACUUUAAAGCAGAAAAUGUUACAUGUUUCAAAGAGUCAGAGUCAACGUUUCAGUCUUAGCAUUUUGUGUUUUUAUACGUGACACGCGACAGACGGCGUAACGACCAAAGUGUGUGUGUGUGUGUUUGUUUCUUGCUGGAGAUGAAUGUAUUAGAGACUCUUUGAACUGCUUUGUUACUUAUUUGGUUGUGAUUUUGUUUUUCUCUGUUUUGGGUUUGAUUCAUAUAGAUUCAUAUUUCUGUUCAUGGAGGGAACAUUUUCCUGUUACAAAGAAACACUAUUUAAGGAAAAAGGGAAAUGGAGAAACUGAACGUCUUGUUUUUUAGAGAGACUCUUGUGUUUCUAGUCUCUGUCAGACAUUCAGCGGCGUUUUUUCUCUCAGCUUCACGAGACUCUUGUGCUGGUGUCACUUAUAAUUCAACACACUGUACAAAAUAAAUCUUUCAUGGAAA